rnacentral:lncRNA from 1 species
UCAGACUUUUUCAGAAAGCCCUACAUUAGAGGGCUUUCUUUAGCCCGCCUUUGUCAUUUUAAAACUCAAAAUAUUAGCCCUCUGCUCCGUGCAGGAGGGAGACAGAUCACUCAGGUUUACAGAAGCCUCAUGUUGUCAGUUUUGUUUUUAAGUGGCAGUUCAGACAAGGAAGACUCUCCCUUUAAACCCUUUAAGAGACUCCAGAUGUAGACUAAAUUCAACACAGAACUGCAAAACAGACUUAAACAUCAUUAAACAAUCUAAAACAGUGUGUUAUUUAUGUAUUAUUACUUAAACCUGCUGUUUUUACAUGCAGAUACAGCAUGAUGGGACACCAGAUGUUACAAUUCAUUAAAUCAUCAGGCUGUGCUUGAAACUGACAUGACAUAUUGGGUAUGUAUCCAUGUUAACAGUGUUUAUGUUCACAUAAAUAUUACAUGUGCAUGAGUGGUUUUGUCAGCAAGUGCUCUUAUUUCAGGGUGUGGCUGCUCACAAACAAGCAUCGCUCCAGCCGGCACAGCUGACACACUCCAGCUUCCCUCCUCCUGACUUGAGUACACCCCCCUCUGCUGGUGUGAGGCAGUAAACAACAAUCUUCUCGUUGCUUUGUUUGGCUGCAGGGACUCUGGGUACAGGUCCAAGAACACUAAUUCAGACCCACAGGAAGGCUUUGCUAACCG